CCUGACUGCCGCCUUCUACAAAAUCCCUGUCCUGCCCCGCCACUCCUACAAAACCCCUGUUCUGCCCCAUUUCUACAAACCCCUGUACUGCCCCCUUCUAAAAGCCCUGCACCCCCACACACGUGCAGACAGUCACACACCAACGUUCACUACAGAACCCUAACACGCAUACAGGACUGAGUAGAGAGAAUUGCAAUACCAAUCCUUAGAAUCAUCAGGUUAUGCAAAAAGAAUAGUCAAAACACGAGCCAAGGUCAAG